GUGAGGAAUAUUGGUCAAUGGGCGGGAGCCUGAACCAGCCAAGUCGCGUGAAGGAAGAAGGAUCUAUGGUUCGUAAACUUCUUUUGCAGGGGAAUAAAGUGCAGGACGUGUCCUGUUUUGUAUGUACCCUGAGAAUAAGGAUCGGCUAACUCCGUGCCAGCAGCCGCGGUAAUACGGAGGAUCCGAGCGUUAUCCGGAUUUAUUGGGUUUAAAGGGUGCGUAGGUGGUUUGAUAAGUCAGCGGUGAAAGUUUGCAGCUUAACUGUAAAAAUGCCGUUGAAACUGUCUGACGUGAGUGUCAAUGAGGUAGGCGGAAUGCGUGGUGUAGCGGUGAAAUGCAUAGAUAUCACGCAGAACUCCGAUUGCGAAGGCAGCUUACUAAGCUACAACUGACGCUGAAGCACGAAAGCGUGGGGAUCAAACAGGAUUAGAUACCCCAGUAGUCC
rnacentral:rRNA from 1 species